GGGAGAGGAGUGAGUGUAUGUCUAAAAUGAAAAACCUGGUCUUUCCCUCCUGUUGUGGGAGGGGGGAAACCCUCAGUUCAGUCUGUCUCCUGAGUGUUUCUUUUACUACUCACACAAAACACUUCACUUCUGACACUUCUGGUCACCAAAUGUGUGGGGGGAGGGGUUCCCCCACAACAACAAGCAAGUCUCCAGCACCAGCUGGAUGUCUUACAAUUUGACUCAAUCCUGACACUAUCUAGCCAGAGACACACCCUCAUUUCAGAUGCCAGUUAAGCCCAGGUUAUUACCUGUGCUUCUGAACUACUAUUGAUAGGAGGUUCCAGUGACCCCCUCCUUGGGGUUGGUUAAUUUGCUAGAGCAGCUCACAGAACUCAGGGAAACCCUUACAUUUACCAGUUUAUUGAGGGAUAUAAUAAAGUAUACAGAUGAACAGCCAGAUAAAGAGAUACAUAAGGCAAGAUCUGGGAGGAUCCUGUGCACAGGAACUUUUGUCUCCAUGGAGUUGUGGUGCAAAAUCAUCCUCCCGGGAUGGAUGUGUUCACCAGCCUGGAACCUCUCUGAACCCCACCCCCACCCCCAGUACUAUUGGGAUUUUUUUGGAGGCUUCAUCGCCGUAGGCAUGAUGAGUCAUUAACUCCGUUUUCAGCCCUUCUCCCUUUUCAAAAGAAUGGGGGAGGGGAGCAGAGCUGAAAAUUCCAAACUUCUAAUCAUGGCUCGGUGUUUCUGGUGACCAGCCCUCAACCUGGAGGCACCCAGGGUUGCCUUCUUAGAAUAAAAGACACUCCUAUCACCCAGGAAAUUGUAAGGAUUUCAGGAGCCCUGUGUCAGGAACCAAGAGCAGAGAUCAGUGUAUAGUUUUUAUUAUCUCACAAUGUCCUACUAUAAUUUCUGAAAGAGACUAGGAGCAAAACAUCAAGGCAUAUUAAUACAGUACUAGGAAGAAUGCAUCUCUGAUUUGCUUGUUCAUCUGUAAGGGCGAACAAACCGAGAAUAACCAGUACAAGUUGAAGAAUACUGCAUAUAGUAUGAUUACAUUGGCUUAAAAUUUCAAAACUAUAUGUCCCCAGGGAUAUAUCCAAAUUUAGAAAUACAGUAAAGAAAUACAUCAGAAUGUAAACACCAUCCUGGAUAGUUGUUAACCCUAGGUGACAAAGAAGCAGUGCUUUCAGGGAAAGGCAAAGGAACUCAAUGGUAUCAGGAGUUUAAUUUCUGAAGCUGAGUGAUGGGUACAGGAGUGUUAGGAGCACCAUCUGUUCACAAUGGAGUUCCUUUUUUUUUUUUUAGUUUGUCAGUUUUAACGAUUAACAAAGUAAAUGUUGAGAGACACCACCACAUAAAUGAGAACUCUUUCUAGUCCUCAAUUUGUCUGUUUCAUGUGCCCAGUUAGUCUUUUUUUUUUUUUUUUUUUUUUUUUGAGAGAGUGUGUGCAUGCAUGCAAGCAGAAGGGCAAAGAGAGAGGCCAAGACAAAAUCCCAAGCAGACUUCUUUCUGUCAGCAUAGAGCUUGGCGCGGGGCUUGAUCCCAUGAACCUGAGCCAGAUGUUUAACCAACUAAGCCACCAGGCGCCCCAGCAUCUUUUCUUAAUUGUGGUAAAAUAUACAUAAGAUUUACCAUUUUAACCACACAGGUGUUCUUUUAAUGAUACUGGCUCACAUGUGACAGGUGAAUAUCAACAUGACACAGAAAUGCAGUUGGUUCAUACACAACUUUUCCAGUAUGUUAGUAUUUUGAAAUGAUCAGGGCAAACCUUCUCACAAAGAGGAAGUGUUCAUCAUAUUUGAGGACCCCAAGGAAAGAGCUGAAAAUCCCACAUCAGUGCCUUCCUUGAGUGGAUAUAGGGGCUGGUUUUGUGGCUUCAAGAACCUCUGCAUUUUCCACUACCUGAAGCCGUCUGGGGAAGUUGGCAGUGCAGAUAGCAAAUUAUGAAGACCCUUCUUAUGUUUAAAUAAAGUGAUUCAAGAAAGUUAGACUGUAUUUUUUAUAAGUUUUUAAAUUUAUUUUGAGAGAGAGAGAGCAAGCAGAGGAGGAACAGAGAGAGGGAGCGAGAGAAUCCCCAGCAGGUUCUGUGCAGUCAGUGCAGAACCCAACACGGGCCUUGAACCCACAGACCCCAAGAUCUUGACCUGAGCUGAAAUCAAGAGUUGGACGCCUAACCAAUUGAACCCCAAGAAAACUAGAUUGUAUUUUUAAUUAUGGUGAUGAGCAUCUCUUUUGGAAGCAAAUGCCUUUAAGGAGGAAACAGGGGUGCCAGGAUACAGGCUGCAAAGAAAGGCCAAGUGUUUGGUUGCAAAUGCGAAUGGAGAGUGAAGUGUGCCAGGAUAUUUAUUAGGAUGGUUAUUUUUAUUAGGGCUCUGCUUACAAACUUCGUAAGAUUUUGAGUGCCUGUUCUUAACUCUGUUCUUCCCAUAAGCCCUUUUAUUUGUCAUGCAUGAUUUGGCUUGGUACUAGGUUUUUCAAAACUACAGAAGAAUUGUUCUUGCUGUCUACAUAUACUUGUAUAUUCUAAACAAAUUUUAAAAGUAAGAAAAGGCUGUAAUAAGGAGAAAUAAUCUAAGUAGGAGAGUAACUUCUUUUCCGUCUUCUGGGCUGAUGUUAACCCAGGGGCGAGGCAAAUCAAAAUGGCUUAAACAAUAAGGAAAAUGUAUUAUUUCAUACAACAUAGAGUUCCAAACAUAGGGUGGCACAUGUAGAGUAACAUAAUGAUGUCUUUGAGGUCUGAGUCACUUUCCAUCUUCCUCCUCUGCCACCCUUACCAUCUUGGCGUUCAUCCUGAACUUGUGCCUUCUGGACACAAGAUGGCUGCCAUAGCUUUAAAACUCAGUGUCAUGUAACUGUGUUCAAAGGCAAAAAGAAGUUUUUGCUUUAGAGUCUUUUUUUUAUUAGGGAGAAAACUCUUUCCAGAAGUCCACCUGCAGAUUUCCUUUCAGGUUUCUUUUGCCAGAGUUGGAUCACGUGGCCAUCCCCUAGCUGCAAGAGAGGCUGUUUAAUUUUUAGCCUUUAGAGAGGGAGGCAGCUCUACCAGCAAGGAAAACACGAUGGGAAUGGCUCUUGGGUUGGCAACCAGCACUGUCAGCCAAGGUAGUAGGUGACCAGUCAGGUCUAUCAGCAGACAUAAUCAAUGCUUUACUCCAUGAUGUCACCUUUAAGAUUAUUCCAGUUCUUAAAUGGUCUUUUCAUCACAAAGUCUGUAAUGUACCACACCCUCAAAUUCACCCUAUGCCUUUCUGCCUCCCAUCUUUUGCACAUUCAGUUCCCUCAGCCUGGGCUUCUGUCUCCUUCCCCAUCUGCUUUUAGACAUAGAGUCCACUCUUGAAGAUGCCACUCAAACACCACUGUCUCAGUAAAACCUUCCAAAUAAUUGGUCAUUCUUUGCAACUCUUUCCUCUGGUCUCCCAUAGCAUGGGGAAAUUCCCCGACACAAGGUCUAGCAAAGGGUCUACAAAGGCUCAACAAUUCUGGCGAAUUGAAUUGAACUGUUUUGCCCUCUGAGCUGAAGAAGGAAAUUUAAUAGAAAACAAGUUUCUCUUCAUAUUAUAGUAUUUGAGGGGAUUUGAGUGAAGUGAUAUUGCACAAAGGAGCCACCCUAAAAGUUUAACAUUGUGUUUUUCUGUUUUACACUGUGCUUUAACUAUAAAAAUAUUUCUUGCCCAAAUUAUUUAGGAAGUUGACCUAAAAGCAGUUGUUUUCCUCUCCCAAAUUAUUGGAGUGACUGUUUUCACCCUUUCAAAUUCUUUAACUUAUAAGCACUGGUCUUUAUCGAUUUUUAACCUGCUUCUCAAAAUUAGUAACAUGUUGGGGCGCCUGGGUGGCGCAGUCGGUUAAACGUCCGACUUCAGCCAGGUCACGAUCUCGCGGUCCGUGAGUUCGAGCCCCGCGUCGGGCUCUGGGCUGAUGGCUCAGAGCCUGGAGCCUGUUUCCGGUUCUGUGUCUCCCUCUCUCUCUGCCCCUCCCCCAUUCAUGCUCUGUCUCUCUCUGUCCCAAAAAUAAAUAAACGUUGAAAAAAAAAAAUUAAAAAAAAAAAAAAUUAGUAACAUGUUAAUAGUUGUUCAAGUUGGAUGGUAGGUGCACGGGAAUUCAUUACACUACUCUACAUUUGUGUAUGUUUAGAAUUUCCAAAAGUAAAAUUAAAAACUAAUUGGUUGGGGCGCCUGGGUGGCGCAGUCGGUUAAGCGUCCGACUUCAGCCAGGUCACGAUCUCGCGGUCCGUGAGUUCGAGCCCCGCGUCAGGCUCUGGGCUGAUGGCUCGGAGCCUGGAGCCUGUUUCCGAUUCUGUGUCUCCCUCUCUCUGCCCCUCCCCCGUUCAUGCUCUGUCUCUCUCUGUCCCAAAAAUAAAUAAACGUUGAAAAAAAAAAAAAAAAAACUAAUUGGUUCCAUGUUUCAGAACCUUUGAAGCUUAUGGUUAUGUAUUUAAUAGAAAGUAUAGUAGAUAUUCAAAUAUUACACAUGGGAAAUUAGUUUCCAUUCAAUUCAGACACAAAAUCUGCAGUCUUUUUGGUAGGGUUUUCUUCUUUCCUUCCCCAGAUUCAAUGAGUCAUGAAGCUUUAUUCUUCCAUUUACUUUUGGGAAAAAAGUGCCAAUGCAGAGUAUGAACAUGUGCCAGCUCGUCAAUGAUGUUAAAGUUCUCACUGUUGAGGGGCACUUGGGUGGCUCAGUCAGUUAAGUGUCCGACUUCAGCUCAGGUCAUGAUCGCAUGGUUUGUAAGAUCGAGCCCCAUGUCAGGCUCUGUGCUGACAGCGAGGAGUCUGCUUGGGAUUCUUUCUCCCUCUCUCCCUCUCUCUCUCUGCCCCUCCGCUGUUCAUCCUCCCUGUCUUGCAUGCUCUCUCUCUCAAAAUAAACAUUUUUAAAAUGUUCUUUAUUGUUGAUAUGUACUUUUUUCUUUUGAUUAGAUACUUCUGUGGCCAUGUUGGGUCUUUGUCAGGUGGGUUCCAAGUGCGAUGGUUUCACAUUUGCUUAAGUAAGCUAGAGAGCUUUCAUAUAAGGGAAGGGAAGAGGAGAAGGGAAAAAGAAAGAAAGAAAGAAAGAAAGAAAGAAAGAAAGAAAGAAAGAAAGAAAGAAAGAAAGAAAGAAAGAAAGAAAGAAAGAAAGAGGAGAGAAAGAAGGAAAGAAAAGAAAAGGAAAAGGAGAGAAAAAAGAAAAGAAAAAAAGAAAAGAGCUUUGACUCAGCUGACACCAAAUUUUGGCAACAAUAGUUAACCAAAGGCAAAAUUAACCAAAAUUCUUUUAGGUGAGAUAACAACUUUACACUUUAUGUGAUCUCAGUAAAUGUGUCUUUCAGUUCAUAUAAAAGGAACUACAGAGGUUGCAUUUUAUCACAUUUUUUUGUAGAAGAUAUACACAGCAGAGCUUCCUCCCUUGUUCCCUUUUUACAAAGUUCUGUCUGUCCUCCACGGCUUAGUUUAAAUUCUGCCUCCUCUGUGAAACCCAAGAUUGAGGUCUCUAUUGUAAUAAAAACAAUUAUUACAAUCUUAGCCAACUUGUAUUGAACUCUUACUAUACCAGAGGCCACAAGUUGAAGAGCAAUUAUCUACCUACUCACCAAACUCAUUUGGGAAGAAUACCAAGAAUAGAGUCCCAAGUCCUUCCUCUAGAGAGCCUAAUUUGGUAGCUCUGAGGUGAGCCAUGGAAUUUCCACUUUAAUAAGAACCUUCUGGUGAUUCUUCAGCCCAGCUAAGUUCAGGGAACCAGGUGGAAUGAAUAAACCCUGGGCCCUGGACACCCUUUGGAUGCAGACUGCCUGGCCUGCAGACUAUGAAGAUUCAUUAGCUUCCUGUAAAAUCCGCUGCUAAGUAGCUUUUAUUGUGCUCAGGCUUCAUGUAUAUUCUUCUACUUAGUUCUUGCAACAACCCCAUGAGAAAAUUGUUAUUAUCUCCACUUUAUAGUAGGAGAAUCAAAACAGAGGCUGAGGGAGAUGGUGACCUGCCCAAGAUUAUAUUGAAAGCAGUGCCAGGAAAUCCAGGUGUGCUAUGUCCCGGAGCCGACUAGUGUUGUCAGAACCACAAGACUGAAUGUUCACUCUCUUUCUUUAUGAAUCUUCUCUUUAUGUGAAUGAGCCUGUUAAAGUUAGAGAUAUAAUGAGUCUUAAGUUGGUUGGCUUCUCUGUAUUACUGUGGGUCACCAGUGAGUUGGGACUCUUCUCAGCUUUGCAGCCAGAAGCUCAAGGUUUCCAGUUUAUGCAAACUCUAGCAACUACUUGCUUAACCAAAUUCAUAGGAGGCUGACCAAGCACAUGUAAUGCUAGUAUGUUCAUGGACAACGGGAGGGCACCUACCUGAAUAUCAACCCAGUCAAGGGACUAAAUCACAGGGUAAAAAGAAGAUAGUUGGGUAAAUCUGGAAUCAGAAAUAGGAGUGGGAUGCCAUGCGGCAAUAUUUUCAUCAUGCUAGGUUAAGCAAACAAAUGACUGUUUCUGCAUGGAAGGGAUAUAUCUGUCCAAGCAAUAGGGGUGGAGGUCAAGAAACAGAGCUCUUAUCAACUCUCUUAAGAAAGCACUGAAUAAAAGGUAACAAUUCUUAUUUUCUAGUCUUCCUUUUAAAACAAAUCUCCAUAGGGGUGCCUGGGUGGCUCAGUCGGUUAAGCAUCCGACUUCAGCUCAGGUCAUGAUCUCGUGGUCCGUGAGUUUGAGCCCUGCGUCGGGCUCUGUGCUGACAGCUCAGAGCCUGGAGCCUGUUUCACAUUCUGUGUCUCCCUCUCUCUCUGACCCUCCCCCAUUCAUGCUCUGUCUCUCCCUGUCUCAAAAAUAAAUAAAUGUUAAAAAAAAUUUUUUUUAAACAAAUCUCCAUAAGCACAGUUUGUAAAACUAUCUUGAUUAUAAGCAUCUAAGAGCCCAACUCACCUGGCUUACUGAAAAUCUAAGUUGCAGAAGACCUGGCCUCACCAUGGCCAGAUUGGGCCAGAUGGUUUGCUGCUUUCCAUGUACUGUGUAAUUCUCAGGCUCCACGUGGAAGCAAGAUGGCUACAGCUACAGUUGCUGCAGCCACAAGGUCCAAGUACAACAUGAAAGAAAAGGAGCCUCUUUACAGUGGCUUCAAUUUAACUCGCUUAAAUUACUUGCUCACCUUUGAACCAAUCAUGAGGCAAGAGGAAUGUGAAAUGCUGAUUGGCGUGGGCUUAGAUCAUGUGCUAUUCCUCUUGAGGCAAAGGUGGAGCCCCAGACACUUCAUAGGCUAUGGAAGGAUGGAUGCCCAAACCAAUAAAAGGCACUCUUGCUGAAAAAAAUGGGAAUAGAGGUAAACAAAGAUCAACUAAACUAUGGCUUCAUGCCCAAUACAGUUAAGGUAUCAGGUGACAAUGUUAGUUUUCUUCUGACAAUAACCACAGGCACACCUUCCUCAGGUACCCCAGUCAGCUUCUUUGAGCUUGGGUAUCUCUCACAAACCAUUUCUUAACAUGGGCAAUUUCUGCAGUGGACUAAACUCCUUCAACAUGAGUAGUUCGACUUCCCCAGCAUUAAAAAAAAUAUAUAUAUAUAUAUAUAUAUAUAUAUAUAUUUUUUUUUUUUUUUUUUUUUUUUUUUUUUUGNNNNNNNNNNNNNNNNNNNNNNNNNNNNNNNNNNNNNNNNNNNNNNNNNNNNNNNNNNNNNNNNNNNNNNNNNNNNNNNNNNNNNNNNNNNNNNNNNNNNNNNNNNNNNNNNNNNNNNNNNNNNNNNNNNNNNNNNNNNNNNNNNNNNNNNNNNNNNNNNNNNNNNNNNNNNNNNNNNNNNNNNNNNNNNNNNNNNNNNNNNNNNNNNNNNNNNNNNNNNNNNNNNNNNNNNNNNNNNNNNNNNNNNNNNNNNNNNNNNNNNNNNNNNNNNNNNNNNNNNNNNNNNNNNNNNNNNNNNNNNNNNNNNNNNNNNNNNNNNNNNNNNNNNNNNNNNNNNNNNNNNNNNNNNNNCCCACCCCCAUGCUUGCCCGAGCUCUCUCCCUCUCUCUUUCUCAAAAUACAUAAAUAAAUAUUUUAAAAAUAUAUUUCAAAAGAUUAUUACAAAAGUAAUAUGUUUGUGGGGGGAAAAUUCAAAUAACACAGAAGUGUGUAAAGUUAAAAAGUAAAAUCAUCAGGUUUUAAGAAUGUGACCUAAACUCAUGCUGAAAUCUCUACCUCCUUAUAAGACCCUGAGAAGAAAUUUUAAAGACACGAAAAGGAAGGACGGGACGGAGGGAGAAAAGUAAAAACAAUAUAGCCACUCCUGGAAGUAAGAAAGGCCCCUCUCCAUAAUGGCUGAGCAGCAUUCCUUAAGGAAGGGGAGAUGGGAAACCAUGUGAGGAGCUGAGGCCCCCAAUCCCGGAACCUCCACAUGGGCAUUAACAUAGCCAGGCCACAGCUGACUCAGGGUGGAGGCAGAGAUACAGUCCAGGUAGCAGGUGAGCUCACCCAGCCUCUGAAAAAGGCCAGCACCAUCCAAAAGAGACAGAAACCUCCACAAAAGGAGGACCUUGCACUUGAGAAAACACAGAUACCAGAACAAUGAGGAUGUGAAAAUUAGGGAUUUCAGAUCCUCAGAGACACAGUUCUCAGUCUCCAUUCUGGAAUAGCCAGGGAGCUUUUGCAGAUCAAGAUACUCACUGCUCCCCAGACCACAUUUAACUGCUCCUUAGACUUCACUAACCCCCAAUUAAGUCAGAAUUUCUUGGGACUCAAGCAUCAGUAUUUUUAAAGUUUCCAGGUGAUUCCAGUGUGCAGGCAAGGUUAAUUUCAGCUAUCCAGUAGGGAAUCACAUUCAUGAAAUGAAAACAGAAGGCUUAGGGCGCUUGGGUGGCUCAGUCGGUUAAGCGUCCAACUUGGGCUCAGGUCAUGAUCUCGUGGUUUGUGAGUUCAAGCCCCUCAUUGGGCUGUCUGUUCUCAGCACAGAGCCCGCUUUAGAUCCUCUUCUGUCUCCCUCUCUCUCAGCCCCUCCCCCACUUGUGUUCUAUCCCUCUCUCUCUCUCUCUCUCAAAACUCAACAUUAAAAAAAGAAAACAGAAGGCUAUGAAACAACAACACAUGAUCCUAAGAAAGAAUCAGCUAAUGAUGCUGAAAAUAAAAUAAAAUUGUAGACAGAAAAAAAUUAAUAACCUGAAUAUCUGACUGGAAAUGACCUGAAGGCAGUCCCUUCAGAUGAGCCAUGUCCCAGCAUUUGUUCUGCCUCUUUCCUCCCCCAAGCCCUCCCUCCCUCUCUUUCUCUAUUCCCAAUCUUAGAUCCUGUAAAUACAGUCAAAAGAGCACCAUAUAAAAGUCUAGCAAACACGAGCAACAAAAAAGUUUCUGGGAGACCAGCAGCUGCAGGUCACAGGAGUUCUGUGAAAGUGUGCUCUUUCUAACUGCCUUGGCUCCCCUUUGCCUGCGCCUUGGUGGGAUUCAAACUCAGGGCCUGGGAGGCACACCUGGAACUUUCAGUGAGGGUACAAAUGGGGAAGCCUUGAACGAAGGAAUAGUUCAGUAGACAUCUCACUGUGCCUUCAUCUACUCUUUUCUCCUCCCACACCUCCCUCCUAGGAAGAUAAAAUCUGGCAAAAAUGAUCAAUUAGGACAGCUUUAACGGGGAAAAUAGACUCAAGAAAGCCACCUGCAGCAUGUGGAUGAAAGGGGACCCUCCAUCCCACCCAUCCCCCCUCUCUGUCUCUGCUGGCCCCAGCAGCAUCAGGGCGGGCAGAGAAAGGCUUGCUCUAUCCUACGGACAAUUUAGUAUUUGCAUGACACAGGUGGGGCUGGCAAGCACCCCACACAGUAAAUUUGGAAGGCCAGAAAAACAGCAGUGAGGAGCUAGAGUUUUGGAAACAAACCUGGGUUUGACUUCCCGGCUGCCACUUAUUCGUUUGGGACCUUGAAUGCCUUGGGUUUCAAUUUCAGGUCAAUGCUUGAGGCAAAUGUCUUCACUGAGGCAUUCAGAGAUUCAGUACCUGUUCUGGUGAUAAUAUCGCCCACCUCCUAGCAUAGGGCUAGAGAUUAAACUAGAUAAUGUAAAGCCCCUAGCACAGGGGAGGUACUCAACAGAUGGUCAGUCAUUCUGCCCUUCUGAAGGAAUCCCUACAACCAAGUCUCAGUUACUAACCGGAAGCUGUUCUCUCUCUAGGACCUGAGAGCUGAAACACACAGGUGAGAUCUGUAAUAUUCUCCAAACUAUUUAUAAGCAUGUGCUCUUGCUAUGCACAUAUGUUUCACAUAGUUAUAAUGCCCUAUGGAUAUCUAUUUUUAGGGGUGUAAAAAUAUCUGGAUUUAUACAACUUUCUCCAGAUGUUUUUAUAUACACUGGAUUUCAUUUUAUCCACAAUAAAGGGAGUGAAUUUAGUUUGGGAGGGACCAUUAGCACUUUCAGUCUACAAAGACCCUCUGAAAAAGAUAGUUCCAUCCACCGAUAAACUUGCCUCUGAAGGAUCUUGGGCUGGGAUCUUGCUGAUAAAAUAUUAAUCUGCAUGAGACUUCUAUUUGGAAGCAUAUCAAGACACUCCUUGCAAAGAUUUUUUAAUUAAACUUUUUAUUUUAGGAUAACUGUAGAUUCAUAUGCAAUUAUAAGAAGUAAUACAGAUAGAUCUCCGGUAUCCUUUACCGGUUUCCCCCAAUGGUAUAGCAUCUUUCAAAACUCUAGUACAGGAUCAGAACUGGGAUAUUGACUUUGAAAGAGUCAAGAUACAGAACAUUUCCAUUGCUGCAAGGAUCCCUCUUGCUGCUUUUUUCAGAGCCACACCCACCUCUGGCCCCAGCAGAGGACCCCCAGCAACGUCUAAUGUGUUCUUCUUGUCCAUAAUUUCAUUCUUGUCAUUUCAAGAAUGUAUAAAUGGAAUGAUAUAGUAUGUAACUUUGGGGGUUAGCUUUUUUUCACUCAGCAUAAUUCUCUGGAGAUUCAUCCAGGUCAUUGAUUUUAUUUAUUUUCUUAAUUUUUCUAAGUGCUUAUUUUUGAGAGAGAGAAAGAGAGCAGGAGAGAGUGGAGGGGCAGAGAGAAAAGGAGACAGAGGAUCCGAAGCAGGUUCUGUGCUGACAGCAGAAAGCCCGACGCAGAUCUCGAACUCACAAACCGUGAGAUCGUGACCUGAGCUGAAUGAAGUUGGACGCUUAAUUCACUGAGCCACCCAGGUGCCCCAGGUCAUUGCUUUUAUCAAUAGUUUGUUGCCUUUUGCUACUGAGUAGUUUUCCAUGCACCACAGUUUGUUUAAACAUUCACACAUUGAAAGACGUCUGGGCUAUUACAAAUAAAGCUCCUGUAAACAUUCAUGUGUGGGUUUCUGUGUGACUAUGAGUCUUCAUUUCUCUAAAUGCUUGGGAGUGCAAUUGCUGAGUCAUGUGAUAGUUACAUGUUUAGUUUUAAAAGAAAUGGCCAAACUAGUUUUCAGAGUCGUUGUGCCAUUUUACAUUCCUACCAGCAAUGUAUGAGUGGCCCAGUUUCUCUGCAUCCUCAUCAGAAUUUGUUAUUGUCACUAUUUUUGUUUGUUUGUUUGUUUGUUUAGCCAUUCUGACAGGUGUACAUAAUAUUUCACUGGGUUUUUUUUUUUAAUUUUUUUUAAUGCUUAUUUAUCUUUGAGAAAAAGAGAGAGACAAAGCACAAGCAGGGGAGGGACAGAGAGAGGGAGACACAGAAUCCGAAGCAAGCUCCAGGCUCUGAGCUGUCAGCACAGAGCCCGAUGGGGGGCUCAAACCCACGAACUGCAAGAUCAUGACCUGAGCUGAAGUUGGAUGCUUAACCCACUGAGCCACCCAGGUGCCCCAAUAUUUCACUGUGGCUUUAAUUUGCAUUUCCAUAAUGGCUAAUGAUGUUGAACAUCUUUUCAUGUGUUUCUUUGCCAUCUGUAUUCCUCUUUGGUGAAGUGUUUCUUCAUUUUACCCAUUUUAUAAUACGAUUUACUUUUUAUUGUUGAGUUUUGAGAGUUCUUUUAUAUUCUAGAUACUGGUCCUUUGUGGAAUAUGUGAUUUGCAAAUAUUUGCUCCUGUGUUGUAGCUUCUCUUUUUAUUCUUUUAACAGGGUCUUUCUCAGAGCAAGUUUGUAAUUUUGAUGAAGUUUGAUGAAAAUUUUGAACCAUUUUGAAAAAUGGUUUAACCAUUUUUCCCUUUACAGAUGAUACUUUUGGUGCAAGUCAGAGAAUCCUAGAUUCUGAGAUUUUUCUCCUUAUGUUCUUUUCUAAAAGUGUUGUAGUUUCACAUUUAAGUCCAUGAGUUAAUUUUUGUGUAAGGUGUGAGACAUAGGCCAAGAUUUGGGGGUUUCUUUUUUGGUUUUGGUCUGUGAUUUCUAAUUGUUCUAGCAACAUUUGUUGAAAAGGUUAUCUGGGCCACGAGGCAUGGGAGGAAGGGUGUGCCUUCCUUGCAGCACAGCACAGCCAUCCCUGUGAGAGGAUGCCACCACUUGGGGCCCUGCAGGGGCAUGCUAGCUCAUAGGGCUCCUCCAGGAAAUGUCUGUCUUCCUGCACCCACAUUCCUCACUCACCUCCACCUCUCCAGGGACACUCAGCAUCAUCUGUCACUUCACUGGGCUUAGGCUUUCCUUAAAGAAUGGAAGAGCUACUGGGUUCAGGUGCCCAUGGACUUCCCAGCCCGCAAGAAUCCCUCAAGCCACAGGCGUGAGCGAGCCUGGCUCCCUGCUUGAAAGGGGGAGAGAAGGAUGCCUAGAGAAAGAAGAAACAUAAAUGAAUACUUCAGUAUUUUGUCACAGAACUAUUUUACAUGCUAGUUUUUACUUCUGAUGAUUGCCUUAUUAACAAGUGAUAGCAAGAAAAAAUCAGCAGUUACUUUUAUUUUAUUAAUAUUUUUGUUUAACAAGCAACAUAUAUAGCAGGUAUCAUAUACCAGGUGCUGCUCAGAGCUGUUUAUGAAUACUAAUCCAUUUGGGGCACCUGGGUGGCUCAGUCGGUUGAGCACCCAACUCUUGAUUUCAGCUCAGGUGAUGAUCUCAUAGUUCGUGAGAUCAAGCCCCAUAUCAGACUUGGUGCUGAAAGCCUGGAGCCUGUUUGGGAUUCUCCCUCUUCCUCUCCCUCUUGUGUGAGUGCACACUCUCUUUCUCUCUCUCAAAAUAAAUAAAUAAACAUUAAAAAAAAUUAAUGCUAACCCACUUAGUUCUCAUAGCAACUUUAUAAGGUAGGUCCUAUAAUUGUCCCCAUUUCACAGAUGAGGAAAAAACGAUGACACAGAGAAAUUAAGUAACUUGCUCAAUCAAGGUCACACAGCUAGUAGUGGCAAAGCCAGGAUUUGAACCCAGUUUGUCUUUAAACAGUGCAAUCCUAAUUACAAUGGCAAUUCCUGAGAAUUCCUCUUGAGAAUUGAAUUUUUUAAAUGUACUUAUUUUUGUAAUUAGAAGCUCAUUUUCCUUUAGCUUGACCUUUAUGACCAAUUUUAAAGAUCACGUCUCUGUUCUCUAAAUCUGUCUUGCAUGCUAUUGACUAAAAAUCACUUAAUCAUUUUGAAAAAUAACCUCUUUCAUCUUUUCAGAAAACAGCUUUCCAGGAGAGCUUUCUCCCUGAUGCUAUCAGAGCCACUAUUUUUCUUAUUUAGCAUUUGUCAAAUGGCUGCAAUUUGAUACGUGGGGGAAGCAAGGUUGAGGUGACACUUGCCAGAAAAUAAAUAAUAGCUGGUUGGUUUCACAACUAACAACACCAUUCUUCAAUUUUCAGGUGAGUCAGAAUUUUUAAAAACAUAUGUGAAAUACACAUAAAGGACUAGAGAAAUAGAAGUUGUGGCUGUCUGCGCUCUUCAUCCACGAGAACCCUGAAAACAGAAGCAUUCCCACCAGCCUGACCCUGACAUCACAGCAAGAACCUCCAAAGCCAGUCUUUGCCAAAUCAGUAGGAUAGAGAAGCAACCGCAGAGGAAAGGAAAGGACAACAAUGACCCAUACGUUAUUGCCCAAGUGCUUAUGAGCAAAGGCCUGUGGAGGCAAGAUUGCGCCAAACCUGUUACAGGAAAUUAGAUAACACGUAUUGUUUGGAAGCUUCAGCUCUAUCCUCCAAUUCCAUUAGCUAUUCCUUGACUCUCAAUCCUUUGGGGGUCAGGGCCACGUCAACUCCAGCGCUGGGGUCUCCAAGAAGAACUCAACUGACAGCUACGACUGCCCACCCAGCACCCGAUCACUUGGACCCUGGGGCUGCAGGUCUAGGCAGGGCCCCCGAAGGCCCAGCUAUGUGGCUGGUGUUCACUUGGUGGCUCAUUUUCGCUCUGAUAUUUUGGGAUCCCAAUUAAUGUUCAUACCUUUUGAGACUUUAUUAUUUACUCCCAAAGAACAGUUUGUUUGUUUUUUAAGUUUUGGUUAGAUGCAGACUUCUCAAGGGCAGAAAUUUCUGAAUUAUCUUUGUAAUCCCAGGACUUGACACGUGGAAGCCAGCACAGAGGACAACAAAGAAAGAAAGGUAGCCAGUCUUCCCGAGAGACCUGGAGGGAACAUUUUGAUAGGUCUCCUUUCUUCUAUAAAUGUUUUUCCCAGGGGUGAGAAUAUAAAGUAUGUACAAUUUGCAAUCCUACUUUUUGCUUUCAAUUAAUGUGAUACAGGCAUUUUCCUGUGUGCUAUCAUCUGAAUCUGAAUAAUUGGGCCUCCCACCCCAGAUUUACAUGUUGAAAACUUGAUGCUCUAGGUGGUAGUAUUAGGAGGUGGGGCCUUUGGUCAGUAGGCCAUGAGGGUGGAGCCUUCAUAAAUGGGAUUAGUGUUCUUAUAAAAGAAUCCCCAGACAGCUUGCUUCCCUCUUUUACAAUGUGAAGAUAUCACAAGUGUGCGACCUGAAGAGGACCCUUACCCCACCAUGCUGGCACCCUGAUCUUGGACUUCCAGCCUCCAGAACUGUAAGAAAUAAAUUUCCGUUGUUUAUAAACAACCUAGUCUUGGGGCGCCUGGGUGGCUCAGUCAGUUAUGCGUCCAACUUGCAUCCAGCUUUGGCUCAGGUCACGAUCUUGCGGUUCGAUUCGUGAGUUCGAGCCCCGCAUCAGGUUCUGUGCUGACAGCUCAGAGCCUGGAGCCUGCUUCAGAUUCUAUGUCUCCCUCUCUCUCUGCCCCUCCCUUGCUCAUGCUCUGUCUCUCUCUCUCUCUCUCUCUCUCAAAAAU
rnacentral:lncRNA from 1 species